rnacentral:lncRNA from 1 species
CCCCGCGCCGCGCCGCCGCCCCCCGCGCGACACACACACGUGACGGAGGAGGUUUCGUCCCGGAAGGCGAAACGUCGCACGCGCCGCGCCUCCCCGCCGCGGCCGCAGUGAACAACCGACCUUACCGCUACAGAGAGAGGGAUCAAAAUCGAAUGUGCUUUAAACUGCGACUUGCUACUCUAUGGACUUACCCGUGAUAAUAAUAUGAUAGACUACUCUUAAGCUCACCGUUCACAGGGCCGGCUUCAGUCUUACGAAGGCUUUUGGGCACUUGGUUAGCCAUUCUUGGGCCUAUGGGCACAUGGUUCAGGCGUGAUAGACGUUCUAGAGUAUGGUUCAAACAUACUACUUGUCGUCGGGCACACAAUGGGGAUGGUGACUAGGUUUUAAUAUGUUGAUUUUUAAGAGACAUUCGGGUAAAUAAAGUUAAUAUUAACUAAUUAAUAUGU